GAUGAACGCUGGCGGCGUGCCUAAUACAUGCAAGUCGAGCGAACAGACGAGGAGCUUGCUCCUCUGACUUUAGCGGCGGACGGGUGAGUAAAACGUGGAUAACCUACCUAUAAGACUUGGAUAACUUCGUGAAACCGGAGCUAAUACCGGAUAAUAUAUUGAACCGCAUGGUUCAAUAGUGAAAGACGGUUUUGCUGUCCCUUAUAGAUGGAUCCGCGCCGCAUUAGCUAGUUGGUAAGGUAACGGCUUACCAAGGCAACGAUGCGUAGCCGACCUGAGAGGGUGAUCGGCCACACUGGAACUGAGACACGGUCCAGACUCCUACGGGAGGCAGCAGUAGGGAAUCUUCCGCAAUGGGCGAAAGCCUGACGGAGCAACGCCGCGUGAGUGAUGAAGGACUUCGGAUCGUAAAACUCUGUUAUCAGGGAAGAACAAAUGUGUAAGUAACUAUGCACGUCUUGACGGUACCUAAUCAGAAAGCCACGGCUAACUACGUG
rnacentral:rRNA from 1 species